GACGAACGCUGGCGGCGUGCUUAACACAUGCAAGUCGAACGGUAAGGCCCUUCGGGGUACACGAGUGGCGAACGGGUGAGUAACACGUGGGUGAUCUGCCCUGCACUUCGGGAUAAGCCUGGGAAACUGGGUCUAAUACCGGAUAGGACCACUGCCUGCAUGGGUGGUGGUGGAAAGCUUUUGCGGUGUGGGAUGGGCCCGCGGCCUAUCAGCUUGUUGGUGGGGUGAUGGCCUACCAAGGCGACGACGGGUAGCCGGCCUGAGAGGGUGACCGGCCACACUGGGACUGGGAUACGGCCCAGACUCCUACGGGAGGCAGCAGUGGGGAAUAUUGCACAAUGGGCGCAAGCCUGAUGCAGCGACGCCGCGUGAGGGAUGACAGCCUUCGGGUUGUAAACCUCUUUCAGCACCGACGAAGCGCAAGUGACGGUAGGUGCAGAAGAAGGACCGGCCAACUACGUGCCAGCAGCCGCCGUAAUAC
rnacentral:rRNA from 1 species